GGAUCAUGGACUUCCUUUUCGUUCGGGUCAUACCAGUGAGAGUGGGGUAAGAAUUGUCAAUGUGGUUUGAAGUGGACAAUGGUACUCCCCAGGGAAGUGAGGUUAGCCCGAUGUUGUUCACCCUGAUGAUAGAUGACAUAUUUAAGGUGGGACAGGGACUGGGUCUGGCCUUGUAUGCUGGUGAUGGGGCUAUAUGGAAGAGAGGUGGGAAGGUGAAAUAUGUGAUGAGGAAGAUGCAAGAAGCUGUGGGAGCUGUGGAAGAUUGGUCUCUAACAUGGGGGUUUAGGAUGUCUGUGGCCAAGUCCUGCUUUAUGGUGUAUUCUAGGAGGAAGGUGUUAGGCUGCAAAUAUACGGUCAGGAUAUAGGUAGGGUGUCUGAGUUUAAGUAUUGGAAGGGACAUGUUUAGUAUAUGGAAAUUAAGUGCAGCAAGGCGCCGCACCUCAUGGGGGCAGUGGCAGGAUAUGAUUGGGGGUCGGAUAGGCAAACACUGUUGUAUAUGUUUCAGGCUUUGAUCAGAUCAUCUUCGGAUUAUGGGUGCUUUGUAUAUGAAUCAGCAGCCAUAACAGUACGAUAGUUCCUGGAUAGUGUCACGCCCUGACCAUAGAGAGCCCUCAGGGUUCUCUACGGUGUUUUAGGUCAGGACGUGACUAGGGGGGGUUAUCUAGUAUUUUGUAUUUCUAUGUUUGUUGGUGAGUAUGGUUCCCAAUUAGAGGCAGCUGUUUAUCGUUGUCUCUAAUUGGGGAUCAUACUUAAGUUGUCAUUUGUUACCACCUGCUUUGUGGGAUAUUGUUUUGUGUGUGUGCAUGUUGCACCACGGCUUUCACGGUCAUUGUUUAUUUAUUGUUUUUGAAGUUUCACUUUAAUAAAAUAUAUGGAACUCAACUUACAGCCUUGGUCCGUCCUUUUCGACGAUCGUGACAGAUAGGAUACAGUCAAGGGUCCUGAGAUUGUGUGUGGGUGCCUUCAGGCCGACACCUGUUGAGGCAUUGCAGGUGGAUAGUGGGAAACUGCCACUGAGGAUAAGGCCAGACAAACUUGCAUUAGCGUACUGGGUCGAGGUUGAAAGAGUUCAGAAGGACAUCCUGCGGUCAUGGCAACUGGGGAAUGUUGGGAGCAAGGAGUGGGCAAGCAGAGGGCAUACGGGUGGACAAUUGGGUAGAAUAUGGACUGGGGGAGAGGGAUAGGGCCUGCAAUUGCAUUGGGGAACAUUCCUCAGUGACUCUUUCUGAAACAAAGUAUAGAUGUGGAUAUGACUGAGGGUGGGAGAGAAUGGGAUGAGGACGUGAGAUGUGGUAUGGAGAGAUAUAUAGAUAAUAGUUUUUAUUUGUUUAAGGAUUCAGAUGGUUCAAAGGAUCCAGUCAGUGGUAGGGUGGGGGCAGGGGUGUAUAUCCCAGAUUUCAAUGUUUGAGUAUGUAAGCGGUUAACUGAUUGUGUCAGUUUAUGCAGCCGAGUUGAUGGCCAUAAUUAUAGGUUUGAGAUGGGUGGAGGAGGUUAAACCACUCUGAGUGGUGACCUGCUCUGAUUCGACUGCAGUGUUGAGUAGUGUGAAGACGAGCAGGUCGGAUAGUGGAGACUUGUUUGUGUAAAUGAUGGUGCUGUUAAUGGGAUGGGAGUGGUGAUAAGCUUUUGCUGGGUUCCCGCCAACGUGGGUGUGGAGGGUAAUUAGAAGGCUGAUGUGAUGACUAAGAGGGCAGUGAGGAGAGAGGGGUUAGAUAUUCAGUUCCCGUUGGGCUGUAGGGAAGUCAAAUCCUUCAUUCGGGCAAAAGGGCUCGAUCUUUGUCAAAGGAAGUGGGAUGCUAGUAGUAAGGGGAGGCAAUUUUAUUGCAUUCACCGGUCAGUUAAGGAAGAGGUGGGCAGUAUGGGAUGUAGGAGAGAGGAAGUUGUGUGGAGUGGACUGCGGUUUGGACACACCAGGUUUGAAUGCCACAUUGUGGAUGAUAAGGAGACAUGAAACAGCUGUUAAACCCCAUCGAAGAAGAUUGGAAAUACUUUUCGACUGACACAUGGGCAAGGCGUUGUGGCUGACCAAAAACUACACUAUAAGCUGCAUGACCCUGAGAGUGCUUCUCCCACCACCAGCGCAUCAAAUGCAUGUAGCUGAUGUCACAUAUUGAAAUUAAAAUAGUUUCUCAAAUGUUUAUCCAUUUUGACUGUCCCCUUAAACCUUGUUAUGUCUCUUGUCCCCCAGAUACUAAUCAAACACUUUUUAGAUACCUUUCCAUUAAUUCCGUUCCAGCCAUUACUAUUACCAAAUAAGGUGCGACCAACCUCGUGACCCUGAAAGUAUUUCUCGCACCACCAGUUUCCCGAGUGCAGAUACGAAAGACGACCUGAUCCUGAGACUGAUUCUCCCACCACAAGUAACGAGUUGGAAAGAAGACUGCCCGCCCAAGCUUUGAUGAGGCCUGAAAGUCAUAUUGUAUCGUUGCAACCAAUAUGGCUGAAUAUCUUCGCCAGGCGACCAAAAGGACAAGAGGAACCGAACCCUUUGCUCUGACUCUCGUGGGACAAUCACCCCUACUCCAUGGCAUUCACUAUCAUGACUGAGCAGGCUCUGGAGCAGAGGACAUUAUGUUUAGCUGUUUUACAAGAAUUCCUAUGGAAAAUGGAUACCUGGUAGGGGUUUGGGGGAGUAAAGGGUAAAGUGUUUACUUUUCUUCACCCCCUUUCCUCAGCUUUAAUUGCUGGGGCUCCUGUGAUUUUUAUUUUUUUAUUUGUGUGUUCCGUAUUUGUUUAUCUUUUGCAUGACUUCACUUUGGAGCUGAAAUUAAUCAUUCAAAAUACAAAUUUUGUAUUUUAUCUACAAUUUGUCAUGAUUGGCCAUAUGUCAUUUUAAGAAUUUCAUAGACGGUGUCGAAAUGUUGUAACAUUGAUUGUUAUGGUUAUACAUAUUUUGUACAUUUUAGAGAAUUAACAGAUUCUGUAAUAGAGAAGUAGAAAAAUAACCCAGCAAUAAAGUAAGAAAUAACCCACUGCUGGGUCAAAAAUACACUAAUAAAAAUAACCCAGCAAAAGAGUAAAAAGCAACCGACUGCUGGGUCAAAGUAAUCGCAUUUUGUGGUAAAUCAAGAAACCCAACAUGUUGGGUCAUUCACGUAACCCAACAGUGCUGGAUUAAAAUAGUUUUUGUGUGUAAGGAAAAGGGAUGACUAUGACAUUGAACCUCUGUAGAUAAGAUAUACUGUAGGUGUAUGUUAUUCCCAACCUUAAAAGUUUGGGGGAUAUUAAUGUUUACAUAAGGAAGAUGACCUUGGAUUAAAACCUCUACAGGAUUGGUGGGUCCCCCACGGGACGGUUGAGCUAACGUAGGCUCAUGCGAUUAGCAUGAGGUUGUAAGUAACAAGAACAUUUCCCAGGACAUAGAAAUAUCUUACAUUGGCAGAAAACUUCAAUUCUUGUUAUUCUAACUGCACUGUCCAAUUUACAGUAGCUAUUACAGUGAAAGAAUACCAUGCAAUUGUUUGAGGAGAGUGGACAGUUAUGAACUUAAAGUUAUUAUUUAACCAAUUAGCCACAUUUGAGCAGUCUUGAUACAAACGUUUGAGCAGAAAUGCA